rnacentral:rRNA from 1 species
CGUAGGGAGCAAGCGUUGUCCGGAAUCAUUGGGCGUAAAGCGCGCGUAGGCGGCCCCGUAAGUCCGCUGUGAAAGUCAAAGGCUCAACCUUUGAAAGCCGGUGGAUACUGUGGGGCUAGAGUACGGAAGAGGCGAGUGGAAUUCCUGGUGUAGCGGUGGAAUGCGCAGAUAUCAGGAGGAACACCAAUAGCGAAGGCAGCUCGCUGGGACGUUACUGACGCUGAGGCGCGAAAGCGUGGGGAGCGAACAGG